GAGCUCACUUUAGCAGCACAUACACUAAAAUUGGACACGAUGCAGAGAAAAUUAGCAUGGCCCCAGCACAAGGGCAACACAGGCAAAUUCAUGAAGUGUUCUACAUUUGA
rnacentral:snRNA from 1 species